rnacentral:lncRNA from 1 species
UCAGCCCCCGGAGGCAGGGUCCUGCGACCAGCACCCCGCGGGUCAGUUGCCUUCGUGCUACCUGGGCUCCAAGUCCUCGCCCUGCCGGAUGAAGCAAUGGUCUAUUUCUUUAUGGCAGUUUAACACCGAUGUCUUCCUCAUCAGUCAGCAGAUUCGGAGAGGGGGAAUCCAACAGUCAGACCGGGCCCAGACAAGGGAGGCCAGACACUGCGGUGCUGCAGGAGUGGAGUGGGCUGCUCUCGGGAGUAAGGGGUCCAAGUUCAAUUUGGGCCUCACCAUGUCUCAGAUCUUUUUAUAGGCCCUUGGAAAGUUCCCAGCCCAGUACCUGGCCAUUGUCCUAUGGAUAAAAUAGAACCACCUGUGUUUGGUGGGAGAAGGGCUGAAGGAGACCUCUCUGGACACUGCCCUCCCCAACCAGCAGCCAUGUAGAAAGAUGGCAAGACGAAGUCACUCAGUGGCCUUGAGGGACCAAAAGGAUCACGAUAACAUUGGUGACUUCUCUGGACCAGCCAUAGCCCUCUCCCCUGGUUUUUCUUGCAUGCUGGGGGCCUCAAAAUGACUGAAAUUGAAAAUAUUAUUCAUUCAUUUAUUCAGUAUUUACUGAGCCAUAAAUCAAUACAACCCUUAACAAAAGCAAUUUGACAUCAUCUGUUAAAAUGACAACGGCAAAUACCCUUUGAUUCAGCGAUUCCACUUUUGGGAAUGUGUUUCAUGGAUGUAUUUAUUCUUACACUUAAUCAAAUCCAUAUAAGGUUAUCCAUUGCUGCAUUUUCAGGAAUUAAAAAAAAUUGGAAACAACUCAAAUGACCAUCAAUAGAGGACUGGUUACAAAAAUUAUUAUGUAUUCAUACAAUGGAAUAAUAUGCAGCUGUGAAAAUAAGAAUGGCACCCCUCUCUUUAGUCUUGUGGAAGGAGUGCCAAGAUACACUGUUGAAUUUUUUUUACAAGGCAAGGUGCAGAAUGCUGUAUAGUACUCUAUCUUUUAUGUAAGAAGGUGAGGAAAAUAAUAUACACACUUGGCUGGGCGCAGCAGCUCAUGCCUAUAAUCCCAACACCUUUAGUCCCAGCUACUCAAGAGGCUGAGGUGUGGGAGGAUUGCUUGAGCCCAGGAGGUUGAGGGUGCAGUGAGCUGUGGUUGCACCACUGCACUCCAGCCUGGCCAACAGAGCAAGGCUUUGUCUCAAAGAAAGAAAAGAAAAGAAAAGAAGAGAAGAGAAGAGAAGGGAAAAAGAAAAGAAAAGAAAAAAUAUACAUACUUAUUUGGAUGUACAUAAACCCAGGAAGGACAUUCAAGGAACAACUAACAGUGGUUAUCUAUGGGAAUGAAAUGCGGUUAGUAACUGGGUGGAUGGGGUUAAAUGCCUGGAGGAAAAAUAUUUUUACUGAUAUCUUUUUAUAUUUGUCUUUUUAAAUAUUAUGUUGAUUUAUUGUCUACUUGGAUAAUGAAUUAAAAUAUAUUUCCUGAAGGCCAGGUAUGGUGGUUCACGCCUGUAAUCCCAGCACUUUGGGAGGCCAAAGCAGGUGGAUCACCUGGGGUCAGGAGUUUGAGACAAGCUUGGCCAAUGUGACAAAACCCCAUCUCUAUUAAAAAUACAAAAAUUAGCCAGGUGUGGUGGUGCAUGCCUGUAGUCCCACCUACUUGGGUGGCUGAGGAAGGAAAAUCGCUUUCACCUGGGAGUUGGAGGUUGCAAUGAGUCAAGAUCAUGUCCACUAUACUCCAUCCUGGGCAACACAGUGAUACUCUGUCUCAAAAAUAAAAUAAAAUAACAGCAUAAAAUAAACCUACUGAGCAUCUACCUGUGCCAAGCACUAUUCUAGGUAAGGAAUACAGUGGAAAAUGAGAUAGACAAAUUGAGAAAAAAGAAAUAGGAUCAUCCAUUCUUCACUCCCCAAUGUUAUAGAACUAAUUCAGGCCUAUUAACGAAACAACUUAGCGCUAUGAAAAUGUAAUGUGCAUAGACUAACACAGGCACAUGACAAGCAUUUACGGAAAAGUCCACUUAGGUGUUCGAUCACCAGGCUCUGCCGGCAGCACUUGGCAAUGAACAUAGCUUCUGCACAGGCUCAGAAAGAGAAGUGAGAGAGUCAGUGCUUGGUUAGGGCACAUUCAGUGGGCCUUCAUCGAAAUGGCUGGAGAGACACUACCUCUGAGCAGCUUUCUGGAGAAACCUCAACCUGCUUCCUGAAAGGGCAAGCCAGGCUGAACACCUUCAGUAGAUAGUCAUUUGUGGGAUAAUCCAUUACCAUCUAUUUGCGCUAUAGGAAAAGCAGCCUUUUGAGAGAGGAGAACUUAGGACAGGG